UGCUGCCUUUCCCCACCAGGCUCAGCAGAUCAGAGGAGGCAGCGCUCCUGCUUCAGGAAGCAGUGGGAGGGGGUGUCCUCCCUGAGACAGCUGAUCCUGCCACCUGGCUUAUACCCCCCAGGGCAGGAGUCCUGAUGGAAAUGGAGAAAAUUGGAUUUGAUGGAAUCAGGCAGGGAGGAGUUAACAACUUCAGGCACAGAGUCCCAGAAGACAUGCUUUGGACUGAAUGUUAAAUUCAUAUGUUGAAGCCCUCACCCUCAAGGACGCAGAGAGAAAGUGGUCAUCAACAAGCCAGGAAGCAGACCCUCACCAGACACUGAACCUGCAUCCCCUUGAUCUUGGACUUCACAGCCUCCAGAACUGUGGGAAAUAAA